CAAACGUUAAUUCCAUACAACCUGGCCGAGGUUCAAAAGUGAGAAAAUGCCAAUAAAUCACAGUCGAUGCACAACAAGAAGAUAACAACAUGCUUUGUAAUUAACACUUCCUUAUGUACUCUUUCAAUUUAUGGAGGUAUCAGUACAAGAAUGAGAUAUCUUUCCCCAAAUGCUUUUUAGGGUUCAACCCCAUAGCCGCCACCUAUCACAUCCAUUUGUCUUAGAAGAAAAAAUAACAACCAUCUAAUAGAAACA
rnacentral:lncRNA from 1 species